rnacentral:rRNA from 1 species
AGGGUUUGAUUCUGGCUCAGGAUGAACGCUGGCGGCGUGCUUAACACAUGCAAGUCGAACGAAGCACCUCUCCCGAAGAUUGACACAGCUUGCUGUAGAUUGAUUCAUUUGAGGUGACUGAGUGGCGGACGGGUGAGUAACGCGUGGGUAACCUGCCUCAUAGAGGGGGACAACAGUUGGAAACGACUGCUAAUACCGCAUAGUAAGAAAGAUUCGCAUGUUUCUUUCUUGAAAGAUUUAUCGCUAUGAGAUGGACCCGCGUCUGAUUAGCUAGUUGGUAAGGUAACGGCUUACCAAGGCGACGAUCAGUAGCCGGCUUGAGAGAGUGAACGGCCACAUUGGGACUGAGACACGGCCCAA